GUGUCUGUAGCUCAGUGGAUAGAGUGUCUUGUUUCUAACAAGAAGGUCGUGGGUUCGACCCCUACCUAACGCG
rnacentral:tRNA from 1 species